GCGAGUGCACACGCAGCGGCAUCGUUAAGUGCACACAUAGUAGUCAGACACACGCAGCAACGUCGUUGAGAACACAGGCAGCAGCGGCGUCGGCCACGCGCUACAGCGUCGUCGGACGCGCGCAGCAGCGUUGUGAGAUGCAGCGAGCAGCGUUGUCGGACGCACACAACAGCGUUGUUGAGUGCACACACAGCAGCAGCGACGGUCGCGCGCAGCAGUUUCGUCGGACGCGCGCAGCAGCGUCGUCGAGUGCACACGCAGCAGCGGCGUCAGUCGUGCGCAGCAGUGUCGUCGGACGCAGCGC
rnacentral:lncRNA from 1 species